GGGGUUGACUUGGAUUAGACGAAGUAUAAAUAAGAUUUUGAGGUGCAUGCCGAGGUAAGGUUGGCCUCGUAAAAAAACCUUAAAGUAAAGUUGCAAAUAAUGUUAAACAUGAACCUGUUGCACUAGCAGCUUAAUCAGAUAAAACUGAAGGUUCCUUCUCUCUCUGAUCUUGUUCUCUUAAGAUUAGAAAUUUAUAAGAAGUUAAUCAAAAAUUAGAGAAAAGUUAUCACAUCCCUGAAUUGUGGUAAUCUUGAUUUAAUUCAGGGUAAACUGAUCGACAGUUUGUUUAGUUUUGCUAUCGGUGAAAUUCUAACUGAACUAAGCAUGUAGGAUCCAUAAAUCCUAGAAUUCUUCGGACGCGGGUUCGAAUCCCGCCAACUCCAA
rnacentral:tmRNA from 1 species